CGGAGGAAAAGAAACCAACAGGGAUUGCCUCAGUAACGGCGAGUGAAGCGGCAAAAGCUCAAAUUUUAAAGCUGACAUCUUCGGUGUCCGCGUUGUAAUUUUGUGAGGCAUCUCCGGGUAGGGCGCCGGCCUAAGUUCCUUGGAACAGGACGUCACAGAGGGUGAGAAUCCCGUGCUUGGCUGGCUGUCCCCGUCCAUGUGAGGUGUCUUCGACGAGUCGAGUUGUUUGGGAAUGCAGCUCAAAAUGGGUGGUAAAUUUCAUCUAAAGCUAAAUAUUGGUGGGAGACCGAUAGCGCACAAGUAGAGUGAUCGAAAGAUGAAAAGCACUUUGAAAAUAGAGUUAAAAAGUACGUGAAAUUGUUGAAAGGGAAGCGCUUGAGACCAGACUUCGGUAAGGGGUGAUCAGCCGUCCUUCUGGGCGGUGCACUUGCCCCCCUCCGGGCCAGCAUCGGUUGAGGCGGCGGGAUAAAGGUCUCGGGAAUGUGGCUCCUUCACGGGAGUGUUAUAGCCCGGGUGAAUGCCGCCAGCUUCGACCGAGGACCGCACCCGCAAGGGUUAGGAUGCUUGGCAUAAUGGUCUUCAGCGACCC
rnacentral:rRNA from 1 species